CUUUUAAGCGCUCAGGACAGCCAGAGCGGGAUGCACGCCUAGGCAGACAGGUAACACCCGCCUCGCGUUCACUUUUCCGGAGAAAUUCUCAAAUCUCACGGAGUGGCAACUGCGCAAGGGCGAAGCGGCGCAGUCUGGGGCCAGCUCCAGCGGGCGGGGCCUGGAGUCAGCCCUCUGCAGCCCACGCCCCUCACCGGCGCAGGGCAUCCACAUUAAUCUGGAUAAAGGCUGCUUCUUCAGCCACAGCUAAGGUGCAUGUAAUAGGAAUGAGAGCCACCUGUGUUUCAGAAAGCGUCUGGGAUUUUAGAGCUGCUUGUAACUGCAGCCUAACACAGCCUCAGCCGACUGAUACAUCCAGUGUCGUCAAAACAGAGCAGUUAUCCUUCAUGAAUUCCACUGGGGAUUCUGCUAUACAGCUUCAUAAGAAACUCUGGGGGUAUCAUAUCUCAAACCAAGCUCCAUCUUCUUCCUCCAGUUUAAAAGACCAGCAUCUUCAUGGAGACAGUGACUGAAACCACAAAGUGAACCAAGCAGCCGGCUCAUUGUUUGAGAAACAGUUGUUUCAUGGGUGAAUUGACCUCAUCUUCGGCAGCCACCGGUUUGCUAAGCAUUUACUUUGAACAUUUCUAUG
rnacentral:lncRNA from 1 species